GGAUAGGUGGCGGAAUGGGUAGACGUACCCUCAAAUUGAGGGAGGCAUAUAGCGUGAGAGUCGCGAUGUUAAACGCUUUAUAAGUCCGUGUAGGUUCGAGUCCUGUCCUAUCCA
rnacentral:tRNA from 1 species